rnacentral:rRNA from 1 species
UAUGUAGGGUGCGAGCGUUGUCCGGAUUUAUUGGGCGUAAAGGGCUCGUAGGCGGCCUGUCGCGUCGGGGAGUGAAAGCCCACUGCUUAACGGUGGGUCUGCUUCCGGUACGGGCGGGCUGGAGUAUGGCAGGGGAGACUGGAAUUCCUGGUGUAGCGGUGGAAUGCGCAGAUAUCAGGAGGAACACCGGUGGCGAAGGCGGGUCUCUGGGCCAUUACUGACGCUGAGGAGCGAAAGCGUGGGGAGCGAACAGG